AUUGAACGCUGGCGGCAGGCCUAACACAUGUAAGUCGAGCGAGCGGCGGACGGGUGAGUAAUGUAUGGGAAACUGCCCGAUAGAGGGGGAUAACUACUGGAAACGGUGGCUAAUACCGCAUACUAUCGGAUGAACCCAUAUGGGAUUAGCUAGUAGGUGGGGUAAAGGCUCACCUAGGCGACGAUCUCUAGCUGGUCUGAGAGGAUGACCAGCCCCAUUGGGACUGAGACACGGCCCAGACUCCUACGGGAGGCAGCAGUGGGGAAUAUUGCACAAUGGGGGCAAGCCUGAUGAAGCCAUGCAGCGUGUAUGAAGAAGGCCUUAGGGUUGUAAAGGACUUUCAGCGGGGAGGCGUUACCCGCAGAAGAAGCACCGGCUAACUCCGUGCCAGCAGCCGCGGUAAUUC
rnacentral:rRNA from 1 species